CAAUACAGUCUAUUUCAAUCUUUUCCAACUGGGUGCCUUUGGGAUUAUAACUCACAGAAUACCCAUGUAGUUUGAAAAUUCUUGGACUUCCAGUUCAAACACAUAAGGAAAUAUCAAGUCGGGAACAGCAGUCCUCUCUGAGAGAUACAAUCUUAGAGAGGUUGACGGUUAUCACAGAAGUCUAAUCUGUUCCUUAAGGCUACCGAAGGAGUGGAUGAUAGUUAUUUUACAAACAACUGAACUGGCAUUGAAGAGCAGAGCAUUCAGGUUGGAGAGACGGGUUGGGUGUGGCCUGCGCAUGACGCAUCCAGCCCAUGGGCUGCCAUUUUGACAGGCCUGCUCUAGAAGAUCUAACUCCAGUGAAUCUGGAAUUAUAUUAUAUGUAGUUGAAGAAUCUGAACAAUGUAAGAUCUCAGAUCUC